rnacentral:lncRNA from 1 species
UUUUUUUUUUUUUGCGACAAUAACUCUUCCAUUACUCGUGAUUACAAUCUCGCAAUACAAUAUCUAGGACAUCCUCGGGAACGGAACCAAGCCAGACCAUGGUUCGGCCCUGAGUUCUACCAAAAUUUGCUAAAACAUGACUAGCACAAUUGCCAUUGCGACGAAUAUGAGUAAUGAAAGAGUCCCGUUCCCCCAUACUUUGCUUAAUCUCUCUGAUCAUGAAAGAAAAUUUUGACAUGUUACCCUCAGCGCUCUUCAACGUAGUCACAGCUUCUAGGCAGUCGGAUUCAAUAUCGAUAGGUAAGGUGCUCCACUGCAGCGCAAGGUUGAUCCCUUCCCGAAUUUUUGAAGUUGUUGUCUACAUCAAGCUCGGCUCGGCUUUUCCACUCUCUAGUCAUUCCUUUGUAUCAUUGUAUGAAUCUUUCUAAGCCCUGGUACUUCGGAAGACUUAUCUUUUGGUACUACCGGAGCACUUGUCAUUCAUACUUCGAGAACAAUUCCUGAUACCAUCAUUUUCUUUGUUCCGGAACUGCUGAGCCAAUCCACUUUGAAACAUCCAAGCUCUUUUUCAUCAAAAACUUCGAAGAUGUGCCUUAGCCUCUUUCUGCAACUUCUCAUUUCGAGAUUGUGUGUGUUUACUACGGUCCUACUGCAUUUUUCAUUCGGAGCCAUCGCUCAACUUUCAAGUAUUGCAUUUUCUCUGGUUUUGAAUGUUGCCUUGGAGUUUCAAAUUUAUUUGAGGUAGUUCCACAAGUUUUCUUCCGGCACUUCCGAGCCUAAUUGCUUUUUGCGUCAGAUUUCGGACUCUCUGUAUAUAUACUCUGAUACCCAUUUGUGGUGUAACCCAUCAUAACCAACCGACUCUAUUCCACCACAAGUUCAUUCCACUCACCCAUUCUACCCCUUGCAAGCCGCUCCACACCGCUCCAUCCCACUACACCACACUCGUGAAUUCCCUACAACGUUAAAAAUAUAUCAGGUUGCCGCUUAAUUGAUGAAAAAGCAGGUAGUAAACGUUUAGGAUCUGCGACUGCUUCACUAUGAUGUGUUCAACUUCUCCUGUAAGCUGUUGUGAGGUACAGUAUUUCAGAGUACAAUAGGUGAAUGCAUGAAGCAGGCUCCAGCUUUUGCUCCUUGUGAUCCAAUGCAUGACGGUUCAGACGAUAUGGUAUCUACACCACCCCCUGACGAACUCCUCGAAUCUGCUAACCCAUGGGAGAAAAUCUAG